GCUAUGUUGGCCGGGCGACGGUUGUCCCGGUUUAAGCGUGUAGGUGUGUGUUCCAGGUAAAUCCGGUUCACUUUAACACUGAGGCGUGACGACGAGGCACUACGGUGCUGAAGCAACAAAUGCCCUGCUUCCAGGAAAAGCCUCUAAGCAUCAGGUAACAUCAAAUCGUACCCCAAACCGACACAGGUGGUCAGGUAGAGAAUACCAAGGCGCUUGAGAGAACUCGGGUGAAGGAACUAGGCAAAAUGGUGCCGUAACUUCGGGAGAAGGCACGCUGACACGUAGGUGAAGUGAUUUACUCAUGGAGCUGAAGUCAGUCGAAGAUACCAGCUGGCUGCAACUGUUUAUUAAAAACACAGCACUGUGCAAACACGAAAGUGGACGUAUACGGUGUGACGCCUGCCCGGUGCCGGAAGGUUAAUUGAUGGGGUCAGCGCAAGCGAAGCUCCUGAUCGAAGCCCCGGUAAACGGCGGCCGUAACUAUAACGGUCCUAAGGUAGCGAAAUUCCUUGUCGGGUAAGUUCCGACCUGCACGAAUGGCGUAAUGAUGGCCAGGCUGUCUCCACCCGAGACUCAGUGAAAUUGAACUCGCUGUGAAGAUGCAGUGUACCCGCGGCAAGACGGAAAGACCCCGUGAACCUUUACUAUAGCUUGACACUGAACAUUGAGCCUUGAUGUGUAGGAUAGGUGGGAGGCUUUGAAGUGUGGACGCCAGUCUGCAUGGAGCCGACCUUGAAAUACCACCCUUUAAUGUUUGAUGUUCUAACGUGGACCCGUUACCCGGGUUGCGGACAGUGUCUGGUGGGUAGUUUGACUGGGGCGGUCUCCUCCUAAAGAGUAACGGAGGAGCACGAAGGUUGGCUAAUCCUGGUCGGACAUCAGGAGGUUAGUGCAAUGGCAUAAGCCAGCUUGACUGCGAGCGUGACGGCGCGAGCAGGUGCGAAAGCAGGUCAUAGUGAUCCGGUGGUUCUGAAUGGAAGGGCCAUCGCUCAACGGAUAAAAGGUACUCCGGGGAUAACAGGCUGAUACCGCCCAAGAGUUCAUAUCGACGGCGGUGUUUGGCACCUCGAUGUCGGCUCAUCACAUCCUGGGGCUGAAGUAGGUCCCAAGGGUAUGGCUGUUCGCCAUUUAAAGUGGUACGCGAGCUGGGUUUAGAACGUCGUGAGACAGUUCGGUCCCUAUCUGCCGUGGGCGCUGGAGAACUGAGGGGGGCUGCUCCUAGUACGAGAGGACCGGAGUGGACGCAUCACUGGUGUUCGGGUUGUCAUGCCAAUGGCACUGCCCGGUAGCUAAAUGCGGAAGAGAUAAGUGCUGAAAGCAUCUAAGCACGAAACUUGCCCCGA
rnacentral:rRNA from 3 species